AGAUAAUGAAAAAUCUGCCAAACAAAGC
rnacentral:sRNA from 1 species